CAGUUCCCUCCCCCAACACUACCUUCUUCCACUGGUCUCUUAUAACCCUAGAGCCAUAUACAACAUGAAGCUUACUUGGUGGCAGAGAAACUCAUUUGCUCAAAAUGAGUUGCUACUGAGAGCUGGCUCAGUGGCUCACCAGGAGAUAAACAGAGGCCUGUCAUUUUGUCUGUAACUCAUUGGUAACUUGGUCGCAAAGAAGGGCUCAAGGAAACCAGUAUAAACAUUCAAACAGGAGCUACUGCUCCCUACCUGUGGGCUCCUCCAUCCUUUGCAAUGUCAAAUGAGUUUGGCUGGAGAAUACAGUUGACAUCCAGAGGCCAGCAAGCCCUGGUAGUCACUGGAGAUGGCUGAGGCUUGGGCACCGUCUCCUGAAAGGUUGGGGUACAGCGCCAGCUCCGUGAAGGCUGGAGUAGGGGGCUGCAGGAGCUGCGCUGUCCCGCCUGCACGCUGCCAUCUGCGGACAGAAAGCAUGUUAUGGAGACAUGGAACACAAAGCAUCUGCACCCACUUUUGUCUUUGGGAACACGGCCAGUGUCUGGGAUCAGGUGCGAGGAGUUUCUCCCUUCCACAGGCACAGGCACAACUUAAUUAGUUAAUUAAUUAAAGGUUAAUAAAGGUUAAUCAGGACCCUCAGAAAUGCAGUUGUACCACUCAUAGCAUUUUCUUACAUCUUUUCCUAUUACCCUACCAUUACUAUGAAAAAAAUACCUGAUAUUCAGGCUGUCUCUCACUCUGUGUGGAAUAAGGUAAAUGACAUUGUGGCACAAAAGCUGGAACGGAUGCCUGUAUUAUCAGUCUCAUUAAAAGGUACACAUUUCAAGUAAUAUCCUCCAUCAGAGGUUUGCAAUUUUGCUCCAUAUUGCAUUCUGGAGAAACACCUCAAAAUAAGAAACAGGAUUACAUCCAAAACCUGUUCAGUAUAAGAUGAUAAGCUAUGAGGGAAGAAUGUGUUUCAACGGACAAAGAGGAAGAGGGGUCUCUGUAACCUCCUGAGAGCUCUGCCUUCCUCCCCACCCCAUUGGAGGUAGGAAAAAACCCUGGAUCCACCUGAUCGUGUGUCCGCAGCUGGUGUUUGUGGUAACUCUCGUCCUUGGUUCAGGUCAUGUUC